rnacentral:rRNA from 1 species
UACGUAGGGCGCAAGCGUUGUCCGGAAUUAUUGGGCGUAAAGAGCUCGUAGGCGGUUUGUCGCGUCUGCUGUGAAAACCUGAGGCUCAACCUCGGGCUUGCAGUGGGUACGGGCAGACUAGAGUGCGGUAGGGGUGACUGGAAUUCCUGGUGUAGCGGUGGAAUGCGCAGAUAUCAGGAGGAACACCGAUGGCCAAGGCAGGUCACGGGGCCGCAACUGACGCUGAGGAGCGAAAGCAUGGGGAGCGAACAGG